AUUGAACGCUGGCGGCAGGCCUAACACAUGCAAGUCGAGCGAGCGGCGGACGGGUGAGUAAUGUAUGGGGACUGCCCGAUAGAGGGGGAUAACUACUGGAAACGGUAGCUAAUACCGCAUACUAUCGGAUAACCCAUAUGGGAUUAGCUCGUAGGUGAGGUAAUGGCUCACCUAGGCGCCGAUCCCUAGCUGGUCUGAGAGGAUGAUCAGCCACACUGUGAUUGAGACACGGCCCAGACUCCGAGGGAGGCAGCAGUGGGGAAUAUUGGACAAUGGGCGCAAGCCGGAUGCAGCCAUGCCGCGUGUAGGAUGAAGGCCCUAGGGUUGUAAAGUAGUUUCAGUAGGGAGGCGUUACCGAAAGAAGAAGCACCGGCUAACUCCGUGCCAGCAGCCGCGGUAAUUC
rnacentral:rRNA from 1 species